UUAGAAAUUCCUUAAAACUCCAUUGAAGUCCAAAGUCAAAGAAGAGCCUUGUCUGAUGAAUUGAGUGAACAUUAUUAAUCAAAAUGAAAAAUUAGCUUCAUCAAGGUAUGAAGUUUGAUCCUUCAAACUCUCUUCAUCAAGGAUCCCAAAUCUCAAGAUGCUUUCUAUUGUAUUCAAUGUUGAAUUGUCGAAUUUCACUAUUCUACAAUGGGUUCUUGAAUCAACUGUUUUUAAACGUUAAUAUGGAUUAUAUUUUUAUCUAAUUGACAAUUUUAACCUAAAUUACCUAUGAACCCAUGAAUUGGAUUACCCAUGUUUUUGACUAAGUUGUGGGUUACUAUAUAUUGAUCUAAUGUUGAUGAUUUUUUAUGUAUUUUUAUGUGAGCUAUUCAUUGUUGUAAUAAUUGUAGUAAGUUUAUAUAUAGGUUAUAUUGGAUUGAUGAAUAUAUAGUAAUUUGACAUAGUAUAAUGAAUAUUGUUAUUAUUAUAUUGAGUUGUUGGUAAAGGCCAUGGGAAAGGCCUUGUGAUAUCGAAUGUGAUGAUUUUCUCUUGGAUUUAGGUGUUGAGGAUGAUAUGGUGGUAAGAAGCCAUAUUUCUUUAAUUUUGAUGUUAAUUGGACUUCAAUUCUAUUUUAAUUUUUAUGGUCCAAUUAUGGCUGUGGUUUUAUGUGUCUUACUUGCAAUUGAUGUGGCUUUGGCUCCAUUGCAUUAUGUAUUAUGAUUAUCAUGGCCUUGUCGGCAAAUACAUGAAGUAAUAUGGCUAAUUGUGUAGUUAUAUUAUGUUAAAAAUGAAAAUAUCUGUCUACAUGUGAAGUUAUAUAUGUGUUCUUCUAUUCAUGUCAUCUUAGGUGAUCAUGUUAGACAAUGAUUUUAACCUUUUGUAUAUAGUCUUAGGGUUGAGUCUUGGGUAUUCCAUGUGGGCUAUAUGAGUUAUGACGCCCUAAAAGGAACUAAGGUGAACUAGGGACUCAUGAGUUCUCUUAAAUUAAUUUGAAGUUAAAAUGAGUUACUUUAGUGUUCUUAGGCAGCGUGUGAAGUUUGGUUAUGUUUGGAUGUGAAACGUCCAAGAAAAUCCAUGAUGUUUUGAAGGUGUGCCUUAAAUAGCGCUUGUGUGUCUUGAUGAAGGGCCCAAAGCUUGGCAACAAGCUGCCACAAAAGUGAAAAAACGAUGACCCUAAAAUGGUCUGUUUUUCUACCAAGGGUCCAUCAACCAAAGGUCUCGAUUGGUCCAUCUUGUCAAAAUGUUCAAGCUCCAUUUGGAUCUAAGUGUCAACCAACGAGACCCCACCAACGGUCCAUUGGUUAAGUCUCCACUAUGAGGGGUUCAAACACUGUAAAUUUUCUGCCAAGGCUUGAGUGUUUAGUAAUUUCACCUCCAGUCUUUUAUUCCCCCAGGAAGUUACUUUUAGGGUUUAUUAGAUAUAUUAAAUUGUUCUAAACCUAAGACAUAAUUUUAGACCCCACUUCCUUUAACCCAAAACCCUUCUCUAUUAGAAUUCUCUUUUAAUUCUCUAUGGAAUCUAGAAGUCAAUAAAUGCUAGGAGGAUUAUUGAUAGUUGUUUCUUCAUCAAAAAUCAUUUGUAUUUCUUCAAUGUAAGGAAUGGUAUCCAGCAUUGGACUCUCUUUCGUUCAAAGAGUUCCUUCUAAUGAAUUUUUAAAAUUUGUUUUCAACCAUAGUUUUUAAUAUCUUCAACUCCAAAUAUGGGUCCUGCAUAAAAAUUUUUGAAUGACUAAUGAUGAAUUUUCUAAUGUUAGUUUACGAUUUUACAGUUAAAACAUUAAUAAAAUCAUGUUAGUGCUUUUGAUGUAAUAUUGUCUUAAGAAAUAGGUUAAAUAAGCAUAAAUUGAUAGUCUUUGAGCUUUGGUUUCUUAUUGUCGUUAUUGUUGUUUAGCUACUUCCUAAAGGGCUUUAUUAUGGUGAAACAUUGAGAAAAAGGUUGUAGGUGAUCAAAGCUUCGAUUAAAGCGUGAGUUGGUUAUGUUGUUUAAUUUAAAUUUGAAAUUCUCUUGAGAGGUAUGGUCCACCUUCUUGGUGGCGGUGUUCAUUUGAAUUGUAUGAAUGUGAAGUUACUUGUUUAUUGUGAAUGAGUCCAUGAAGGUUUGUUAUGUUAAAUAAGAUGAAUUAUGCUAUUCUUGCUAAAUAUUCCUCAUCAAGCUAUUAUGUGAAAUAAGCUAGAAACUAUGCUUAAAUGAUGUUAUUCUUGUUAAUUGUUUUAUAAAGUUUGUUAUGAAAUGUAUGUUAAGAAUAUUGUCCCAAGAAGUUAUAUGAUUGUAUGAAGUGUGUAAAGUGUGUGAAGUGAUUAAUUAAGGUCUAAGCAUGCAUUUAAGUGUAAAUAAGAUGAAACUUAUAUCCAAGGUGUGUUCACAUGUACACAUAAACUCACACUUGGAUGAAUGAAUGAAUCUAAGUAGAUUCCUAAAGGAGAGUUUUGGGAUAAACACUCUUCCUGAGUUGAGAUGAAGUUAUUAUUUGCAAUUCCAAUGCGUCCCAUGAGCUUUCUUAGAUAGAUUAGAUGAUAAAUGCCCUUUGUGAGUUGACAUGUGAUGUUCACUAGUUAUCCUUAAAGUAUAGUUUUAAAGUGUUUAGAAUUAGUGGGGUUUAAGCCUAGCACCUAGAGGAUAUGAUGGAGAGGUGGUUACACUUCGUGAGUUGAGAUUUUAUAUUCCAAUGUACCUCUGUAGAUGAGUACUCCUUCUUAAUAGAAACUGAGUUACUUAGUAGAAAUCUCCAUUUCCCUUAAAUAUGAGCCCACGUAUAUGUUGCUUUUGAGAAAGCCAUGUAAAAUCCAAAAAAAACUGAUCUUACUCUAGGCAAGUGAGGAUACCUCAUCCGAUAGGGGUUAAUGUUGGGAUUCCAUGGCUAGCUCUCAAGGUCUAUGUCAGUUAAGCUAACCCUCCACAAAAAAAUUGAUUGAAGUAAGUCUUCAAAAUGAACAUACUACUUAGGGUAGGUGGUGGUAUGGGACACUAUCUACUCAUUGCACUAGGUAGGUUCUUCCAAAACGAAAGACUUGGUGCCAAACCUUCUAAAGGAAUGUAAUACUUAGGGUAGGUUGUGGUAUGAUACGCUCUCUACUCAAUGAACUAUGUAGGAUUUCUGAAAGGGAAGAGUUUGGUUGUUUGUUGAGUAUCUUUUAAUGUCUUUCCAUUCAUUGAGGGACUUGUUUCUCCCAAAUUGAGUAAGAUAAAAGGGGUAGUCUUGAGGAUUCAUUUGGUGUGAAUUGAAGGAGGCAUAUGCAUAAUUCCUUCAUGUCUUACCUUAGUGAGUCUUAGGAUAAUCCCUAAGUAGUGAAACUCUUUAGUUCAAUUUCUCUUUCAUUUUUCCUUGAGAGUUGACUUAUUUAGAAUAGGAUAGUUCAUUGUGAAUUCUUUAAAUGUUUCAUUGUUAAGUUCCAGAUUUGUUUACUAUAAUGUUACUUAGAGUUCACUUUAUGUUUUCGGGAGUUACUGUAAAUGUUUUUUUUGUUAAAAUUAUGUUAGUUCUUAUUUUAUGUGUUAAAUGAUGGUUCUCAUGUUGAUUUUCUUCUAAAUUCAUGAAUGUUUUAAUUAAUUUGGCAUGAUAUGUUAUAUUACUAAAAUCUCCCUUUUUGCAUGUUUUUGCAUAUGCCAUACUUAGUAAAUUAAUUGUACUAACCCCUAAGUUUUCUAUACGUUAUAAGCAUAGAUUGAAGACUUUUUGGAAGAUCAGAAGGUGAAUAUUCGGAAAUUUAAUCUCUCAAGAAUUGUUAUGUCCUCAUAAAUUCGAUUACAUAGUCUAUUGUUUCCUAGUUUUAUUAUCAAGAUUUAUUAUCUAUUUGAUUCCAUUGUAAAAGGUCAUGUCCCUAAAAUAUUAGAUGUCUUGUCUUAAGUUUUGCUUGUGACGAUGAGUUUUCUCAAUUGUUUAUGAAAGAUUUCCUUUCCAUUAAUAUAUUCAUGAAAAGUUUUAUUUGUGAAUUACUUUUCAAGUCUUAUGUAAUGAAUGUUUUAUAAAGGGAUUUUACAAGCCCCAAAGGUUCAAUUACGCCUGGUAAAGAAACGAGAGUUCCUCCUAAAUUCAAGGGUGUACUUUCGAGUUGUGACAUGAUUGCAUGUUUAUCACAUUUAUGAUGGUAUGAUAGUGGAUAUGAUAACUUCAAUAUGAUGUAUGUGGUGUCUUGUCUUUGUUGACAUGUGUCCCUUGAUGUAUAUAUGAAUAUGAAUAUGUGAUGGAUUUAUUUAAGAUGUUAAAGCUUUUACUUUUGUAUGUAUGAAUGACAUGAGACCUUAAAUAAUGUUAGGAGAGUCUUUUAUGUGAAAUAUUUACCCUAGUGGUAAAGUUGUGAAUGUUGAAGUCGUAAGGCGAAAUGGUAUCCUUCAAAAUAAUGGAAUGAAAGACUUAAGGUUUAUUGGCUGGAACAACAUCAUAUAAAUCCUUAGGAAAGUCAUCAUGAUAUUCUUUUUGCCAUUGUGAGGUAGCCCUAGUGGAACUUUCAUUCGUAGGGUAAUUUUGAUUGUGUUAUGAACUUUUUAGGGAACCCAUUUAUGUGGACCUUAUGUGUGAUUAAUCAAUGAGAAAGAAGGCUAGCGUCGAGUGACUAUGGUAAGGGAGUAGUUCUAGUUAAAGCGUGAGACUAGAUUACCCCUAUUGUUGUUGGUAGGUAAGGAUCAUUUGGGAAGAGAAGACUUUGACCGUAGCAUCAUUCAAGAUCAGUUCAAGUAUGUCCUCAUUUGAUUCGAGGGCAUAGAUUGUCUUUUAAGUUUUCAUUUGAAGUAUUGCAAUACACUAAGUAUUUCUAUUUUUUGAAGUAUGGGUCGUGUCUAAGUAUUCUUGUGUCUUAAGAUGAUGAGAUAGAGAUUUAGUAUUUUUUAUUGCUUUAUAUGAAUGAGUUUUUAAAGACUAUGAAGUAUAUUUUGAAAUGUUUUAUUUUAGAACUAACUUUCACUAUGUUUAUGCGAUGAAUGAUAUGUAAGAGCUUUCCCAAAACCUCCGAGAGGUCAGUUAUGCCGGUUGCAAUCUGAGAUUGCCCCUAACUUCUAGGGUAUGGUUUAGGUAUGUUACAUAUACAAUCUUUAGUACUCAAAUGAAAGGAAAUGAACAUAUGGUUUUUAAGACGAAUCAAUAUCCGAAGAUAGAAAAUGGAGUUUUCCCCGAAGUCGUGAUGACCUACCCAACAUGGAGAAUUAUGAUCCAAGUGUUCUUCAAAUGUCUUCAAUAGCCCUUCUACGAUUAGAACUUAAAAUGAUAGGGAAAUGGGAGAUAAUGGGAUUAUCACAUCACUUUUAUUAUGUAUAUGAUCAUAUGCAUAUAUAACAUAAUGUCAUGCUUAAAUGGGACAUUUCAUUAAAGCGUGCCAGUUAGUUGGAGAAGCCUUAUGAACAUUCAAGCACCAAUAGUACUAAGCUUAGUCAAUUCAACAUGCAUAUCAACAUAGUUGAGCACAUAAUCAAUACAACUCUAUCAUCAAGUCAUACCCUCAACAAGAAUAUAUAAGAGUUCAUAACAUCAUAACCAAAGAAAGACCAUUACUCAUGAUCCCUCAUUAAGUACACUAGUUAAAUUACUAAGUAAGGCUCCAUAACCUCACUCAAGCAAGUAAACCCAACAAGAGCCAUAAUCAAUGUGAACAUCACAUACCAUAUCAUUAUGGUGGCUUAUGAAGGAUAUUUAGGCAAGUCUUGUGAUGUUAAUUCCUUACUGUAAUUGUGGUUACAUGUGAUUAAGUGAUGAUAUUGUAUUGAAGUAUACCUUAUGUUAAGACUGAUAGGGUUGGUAAGAUGUUGAAUUGGAUUGUCUUGAACAAUGGUUUCUGAGUUGUUGGCUAAUUUGUAAAUGUUAUAAUCAUGGUGAUAACGUACGAAUGUUCCUUAUCAUGAUAUGAUUAUGUAAAUAUGUAACCCUCACAUGUAUGAAUUUUAUUAAAAGGAUACACAUAUGAAAUUCUUACUGAGCUAUGAUAAUGAUUAUAUAAGGGAUAGACCCUAUGACCUUCAUUAUGCUAUGAUGAUUAAUAAAGGCAUUAAAUAAAUUUCAAAAGGGACUCUAGCUAAGCACCAUUUUAACUAGAGUGAAAAGUCUCCAUUCCCACAUAAUUAAGGUUGGAUCACUAAUGUACUCAUGAGAUUGGAGACUAUUAUUCAUGUAGCAUAAAAAGGAUUUCAACUACAUCUCCUAGAUCUUGAACUAUGUUGCCCUAAUAGGAAUACUAGCAAGAGGAUCCACAUAGAAGUUGUGUCAUGUUCUGGUACUACCUAGACAUGUACUUCGCCUUAUUUUGGUGUAAGGUUCCACACAAAAUUCCACAUUAGCUCAAGUUGUCUACGUCUUUUAAGGCAUGAUGUUUCCUAAAGGUAAAAUGAAGUAAUGGAAUGAACUAUAACUAGGAUUACCUAAGGGGCUUAGCUUAAUCUUUGUAGUUGUAUGGGACUGUACCUAUAUAUUGCACUAGUUAGCGUUCAGGGAAGAAUUAGGUGGAUGUUGUAAUGUAUGUAUAUUCUUAUAAAUGUAAAUCAUUUGUAUUUGAUAAUAUUACCUGUUGAGGAAACUAUAUGAUAUUGGUUUCACUUGUGAAUAUGUGUUUUGUCCCUAUUCCUAAAGUAUGAUGUUAUGUACUCUUACCGAUAUACUAUGUUAAGUUGGACAUUGUUUAUGGUUCUUGUGAGGUUUACUUGAUUAAGUAAGGUUAUAGGGUUUUACUUAGUCAUUGAACUAGUAGAGUUAAUGAUGGUUCAUAAUGCUUUUAAAAGUAAAUUACAUGGUUUAAUGAAAAGUCUCAUUUUACAAUUAUUUUAUGUUAUGUGUGCAUAUGAUCCUAUACUUAGUAUAUGUAAUGUGCUAACGCCAUUUUCUCACUUUUCUCCAAAAUAUUACGUUCCGGUCGUUGAAGGUCUUCUGACGACAUUUGAAGAAGACAUGGAUUCUCAUUCUCCAAGUUUGGUAGGUCCUCACCACUUCGAGAACAAUGUUAUUUCCUAGCUUCGAAGAUUGAUUAGUCUUAAAGACAAUAUGUUAAUGUCCUUUAUUUAGAGUACGAAAGAUUGUAUAGCCUAUAUGUGGCUCUUAUUGUAUUAAUGUAUGGAGUAUGUCCAAUUGUUAUUGUCUUUUUUAGAUGGUUAUGAG
rnacentral:lncRNA from 1 species